UACGAAGGGGACUAGCGUUGUUCGGAAUUACUGGGCGUAAAGCGCACGUAGGCGGAUUUGUUAGUCAGGGGUGAAAUCCCGGGGCUCAACCUCGGAACUGCCUUUGAUACUGCAAAUCUCGAGUCCGAUAGAGGUGGGUGGAAUUCCUAGUGUAGAGGUGAAAUUCGUAGAUAUUAGGAAGAACACCAGUGGCGAAGGCGGCCCACUGGAUCGGUACUGACGCUGAGGUGCGAAAGCGUGGGGAGCAAACAGG
rnacentral:rRNA from 1 species